rnacentral:lncRNA from 1 species
GGGAGUAGAAAGAAGUACUAGGAAUAGGACAGGGGCCAAUAUCAAAUGCACCACCAACAUCUCCAAAAAUAUCAUCCCAGUAGUUUUUUUUUUCUACUAGUACUGGGUGGUUGUGGAGGCUUUUGCAAUCAACUGCAUCAAACUUGUCAUCAUACUUCUUAAAUAUGGUAGAAAGUUCGGCUCUUACCUCAGUUAAAUAAGCAGAGCAAUCAGUACCAAUAAGAUUAGAUAACAACCUAAGCACAUUGGUAAAACCUUUUAAUUUAUCUCUAGGAUCCAUAAUAAAUGCAAUGAAAUAAAGCAAAGGAAUGUCCCUCCAGUACUUCAGAUAGUAAUCCUUUAUAGGGACAACCACAUGUCUAAGCAAUCUAU